rnacentral:rRNA from 1 species
AGAGUUUGAUCAUGGCUCAGGAUGAACGCUGGCGGCGUGCCUAACACAUGCAAGUCGAGCGAUCUCUUCGGAGAGAGCGGCGGACGGGUGAGUAACGCGUGGGUAACCUGCCCUGUACACACGGAUAACAUACCGAAAGGUAUACUAAUACGGGAUAACAUACGAAAGUCGCAUGGCUUUUGUAUCAAAGCUCCGGCGGUACAGGAUGGACCCGCGUCUGAUUAGCUAGUUGGUAAGGUAAUGGCUUACCAGGCAACGAUCAGUAGCCGACCUGAGAGGGUGAUCGGCCACACUGGAACUGAGACACGGUCCAGACUCCUACGGGAGGCAGCAGUGGGGAAUAUUGCACAAUGGGCGAAAGCCUGAUGCAGCAACGCCGCGUGAGCGAUGAAGGCCUUCGGGUCGUAAAGCUCUGUCCUCAAGGAAGAUAAUGACGGUACUUGAGGAGGAAGCCCCGGCUAACUACGUGCCAGCAGCCGCGGUAAUACGUAGGGGGCUAGCGUUAUCCGGAAUUACUGGGCGUAAAGGGUGCGUAGGUGGUUUUUUAAGUCAGAAGUGAAAGGCUACGGCUCAACCGUAGUAAGCUUUUGAAACUAGAGAACUUGAGUGCAGGAGAGGAGAGUAGAAUUCCUAGUGUAGCGGUGAAAUGCGUAGAUAUUAGGAGGAAUACCAGUAGCGAAAGCGGCUCUCUGGACUGUAACUGACACUGAGGCACGAAAGCGUGGGGAGCAAACAGGAUUAGAUACCCUGGUAGUCCACGCCGUAAACGAUGAGUACUAGGUGUCGGGGGUUACCCCCCUCGGUGCCGCAGCUAACGCAUUAAGUACUCCGCCUGGGAAGUACGCUCGCAAGAGUGAAACUCAAAGGAAUUGACGGGGACCCGCACAAGUAGCGGAGCAUGUGGUUUAAUUCGAAGCAACGCGAAGAACCUUACCUAAGCUUGACAUCCCACUGACCUCUCCCUAAUCGGAGAUUUCCCUUCGGGGACAGUGGUGACAGGUGGUGCAUGGUUGUCGUCAGCUCGUGUCGUGAGAUGUUGGGUUAAGUCCCGCAACGAGCGCAACCCUUGCCUUUAGUUGCCAGCAUUAAGUUGGGCACUCUAGAGGGACUGCCGAGGAUAACACGGAGGAAGGUGGGGAUGACGUCAAAUCAUCAUGCCCCUUAUGCUUAGGGCUACACACGUGCUACAAUGGGUGGUACAGAGGGUUGCCAAGCCGCGAGGUGGAGCUAAUCCCUUAAAGCCAUUCUCAGUUCGGAUUGUAGGCUGAAACUCGCCUACAUGAAGCUGGAGUUACUAGUAAUCGCAGAUCAGAAUGCUGCGGUGAAUGCGUUCCCGGGUCUUGUACACACCGCCCGUCAAGCCAUGGAAGCUGGGGGUACCUGAAGUAUGCAACCGCAAGGAGCGUCCUAGGGUAAAACCGGUAACUGGGGCUAAGUCGUAACAAGGUA